rnacentral:rRNA from 1 species
GCCUGCCCAGUGACAAAGUUYAACGGCCGCGGUACCCUAACCGUGCGAAGGUAGCAUAAUCACUUGUUCUUUAAAUAGGGACUCGUAUCAACGGCAUCACGAGGGCUAUACUGUCUCCUUUCUCCAAUCAGUGAAACUGAUCUUCCCGUGAAGAAGCGGGAAUUAUCAUAUAAGACGAGAAGACCCCAUGGAGCUUUAAACUCAAUAUAUAUUUCUACGCAUUUAUAUCACUAUAGCCCAAGAAAAUUAUAUGUUGGUUUUGGGUUGGGGGGACCGCGGAGAAAAAAUUAACCUCCACGACAAAUAGGCCAACGCCUUUAUCUACGAACCACAAUUCUAAGAAUCAAUAAACUGAUGUUUAAUGAUCCAAUUUUUUUGAUCAACGAACCAAGUUACCCUGGGGAUAACAGCGCAAUCUACUUCAAGAGCUCCUAUCGACAAGUGGGUUUACGACCUCGAUGUUGGAUCAGGGUAUCCUAGUGGUGCAGCCGCUACUAAAGGUUCGUUUGUUCAACGAUUAAAACCCUACGUGAUCUGAGUUC